GAAAAAUUGGCGAAAAUUUGAGUUUAUGGAAUAUUUUUGAAAAGAAAAUUGAAAACCGGGGGUCAAAACGAAUUUUAAAAAAAUUGUACAACGUCAGCAGCCCCAGCCAAUCAGGACACGCUGCGUGGUAGAGACGUUGACGUGGGAGACCACGCGGAAGGGAGCCACGUGGGCGAUCCGCGUGCGCGUGAUCGAACAGCUGAGAUCCGUUCCCCCGCGUACAAACGGCCUAGAUUGCACGCGCACGGAUGACCCAGAUUGAAUCGCGCACAAACAUCUCAGAUUGCAUCGCGAUAAACGGUUUAGAUUCAUUUCCUAUUUAAUCGCGAUCGGACGGUGUAGAUUGAAUCGCGAUUGACGACUCAGAUAAAAAGCGGAUGGUUAUAAAUAAUCUAAUCCGCACCCAAACCGUAACCCUAGCCGC
rnacentral:lncRNA from 1 species